AUGGAGAUGAAACCCAAAAGAUUUUCGUUGGGGCGUAACCCUCUCAGCGACGCGCCACAUCGGAACCCGGGUGUGGUGGAAAAUGGGCAAGGGCCGGGCCGUCACCCCCCAAGUGGCACGCCGUAUCUUGAUCCGGAUACGGUGCCAAGUGAGCGAGGAUCGGGUCAUCGCAUCCUUAGUGGCGCGCUACAUCGGUGCCCGGAUGUAGUGGAAAAUGAGCAAGGGUCUUCGCAUUUGACUCGACGAGUGCGAAGGGUAAGGAAGCUAGCCGAGCCUAGGAGGAUUCGCUUAGGUAGCUGGAACGUAGGGUCUCUGACAGGGAAGCUUCGGGAGCUAGUUGAUGCAGCAGUGAGGAGAGGUGUUGAUAUCCUUUGCGUCCAAGAAACCAAAUGGAGAGGACAGAAGGCGAAGGAGGUGGAGGAUACCGGCUUCAAGCUGUGGUACACGGGGACGCCUGCAAACAGAAAUGGCGUAGGCAUCUUGAUCAACAAGAGCCUCAAGUAUGGAGUGGUAGACGUCAGGAGACGUGGGGACCGGAUUAUCCUGGUCAAGCUGGUAGCUGAGGACUUGGUUCUCAAUGUUAUCAGCGCAUAUGCCCCGCAAGUAGGCCACAAUGAGAACACCAAGAGGGAGUUCUGGGAAGGCUUGGAAGACAUGGUUAGGAGUGUACCGAUUGGUGAGAAGCUCUUCAUAGGAGGAGACCUCAAUGGCCACGUGGGUACAUCUAACACAGGUUUUGAAGGGGCGCAUGGGGGCUUUGGCUAUGGCAUCAGGAAUCAAGAAGGAGAAGAUGUCUUAAGCUUUGCUCUAGCCUACAACAUGAUUGUAGCUAACACCCUCUUUAGAAAGAGAGAAUCACAUCUGGUGACUUUUAGUAGUGGCCAACACUCUAGCCAGAUUGAUUUCAUCCUCUCAAGAAGAGAAGAUAGGCGUGCGUGCCUAGACUGUAAGGUGAUACCUGGGGAGAGUGUUGUACCCCAGCAUAAGCUGGUGGUUGCUGACUUCCGCUUUCGGAUUCGUGUCCAGCGGGAUAAGCGUGCCAAGGUCGCUAGAACGAAGUGGUGGAAGCUCAAGGGGGAGGUAGCUCAGGUGUUCAAGGAGAGGGUAUUUAAGGAGGGCCCUUGGGAGGAAGGAGGGGAUGCGGACAAUGUGUGGAUGAAGAUGGCGACUUGCAUUCGUAAGGUGGCCUCGGAGGAGUUUGGAGUGUCCAGGGGAAGGAGAAGCGAAGAUAAGGAUACCUGGUGGUGGAAUGAUGAUGUCCAGAAGGCGCUUAAAGAGAAGAAAGAUUGCUUCAGACGCCUAUACCUGGAUAGGAGUGCAGACAACAUAGAGAAGUACAAGAUGGCGAAGAAGGCCGCAAAGCAAGCUGUUGGUGAAGCAAGGGGUCGGGCAUAUGAGGACCUCUACCAACGGUUAGGCACGAAGGAAGGUGAAAGGGACAUCUAUAAGAUGGCUAAGAUCCGGGAGAGGAAGAUGAGGGAUAUUGGCCAAGUCAAAUGCAUCAAGGACGGAGCAGGCCAACUCUUGGUGAAGGACGAAGAGAUUAAGCAUAGAUGGCGGGAGUACUUCGACAAGCUGUUCAAUGGGGAGAAUGAGAGUUCUACCAUUGAACUGAAUGACUCCUUUGAUGAGACCAGCAUGCGUUUUGUGCGGUGCAUCCAGGAGUCUGAGGUGAAGGAGGCUUUAAAAAGGAUGAAAGGAGGCAAGGCGAUGGGCCCUGAUUGUAUCCCCAUUGAGGUGUGGAAAGGUCUCGGGGACAUAGCGAUAGUAUGGCUAACCAAGCUUUUCAACCUCAUUUUUCGGGCAAACAAGAUGCCAGAAGAAUGGAGACGGAGUAUAUUAGUACCAAUCUUCAAGAACAAGGGGGAUGUUCAGAGUUGUACUAAUUACCGUGGAAUUAAGCUGAUGAGCCGUACAAUGAAGCUAUGGGAGAGAGUCAUUGAGCACCGCUUAAGAAGAAUGACAAGCGUGACCAAAAAUCAGUUUGGUUUCAUGCCUGGGAGGUCAACCAUGGAAGCCAUUUUCUUGGUACGACAACUUAUGGAGAGAUAUAGGGAGCAUAAGAAGGACUUGCAUAUGGUGUUCAUUGACUUGGAGAAGGCCUAUGAUAAGAUACCACGGAAUGUCAUGUGGUGGGCCUUGGAGAAACACAAAGUCCCAGCAAAGUACAUUACCCUCAUCAAGGACAUGUACAAUAAUGUUGUGACAAGUGUUCGAACAAGUGAUGUCGACACCGAUGACUUCCCGAUUAAGAUAGGACUGCAUCAGGGGUCAGCUUUGAGCCCUUAUCUUUUUGCAUUGGUGAUGGAUGAGGUCACAAGGGGUAUACAAGGAGAUAUCCCAUGGUGUAUGCUCUUUGCGGAUGAUGUGGUGCUAGUUGACGAUAGUCGGACGGGGGUAAAUAGGAAGUUAGAGUUAUGGAGACAAACCUUGGAAUCGAAAGGGUUUAGGCUUAGUAGAACUAAAACCGAGUACAUGAUGUGCGGUUUCAGUACUACUAGCUGUGAGGAGGAGGAGGUUAGCCUUGAUGGCCAGGUGGUACCUCGGAAGGACACCUUUCGGUAUUUGGGGUCAAUGUUGUAG
rnacentral:rRNA from 1 species